CUUCCGUAGGUGAACCUGCGGAAGGAUCAUUACUAGAGCAAAGGAUAGGCAGCGCCCCACAGAAGCUUGCUUCGGUAGGGUUUAGAGUCGUCGAACCUCUCGGAGAAGUUCGGUCCUGAACUCCACCCUUGAAUAAAUUACCUUUGUUGCUUUGGCGGGCCGCCUCGUGCCAGCGGCUUCGGCUGUUGAGUGCCCGCCAGAGGACCACAACUCUUGUCUUUAGUGAUGUCUGAGUACUAUAUAAUAGUUAAAACUUUCAACAACGGAUCUCUUGGUUCUGGCAUCGAUGAAGAACGCAGCGAAAUGCGAUAAGUAAUGUGAAUUGCAGAAUUUAGUGAAUCAUCGAAUCUUUGAACGCACAUUGCGCCCUCUGGUAUUCCGGGGGGCAUGCCUGUUCGAGCGUCAUUAUAACCACUCAAGCUCUCGCUUGGUAUUGGGGUUCGCGGUUCCGCGGCCCCUAAAAUCAGUGGCGGUGCCUGUCGGCUCUACGCGUAGUAAUACUCCUCGCGAUUGAGUCCGGUAGGUCUACUUGCCAGCAACCCCCAAUUUUUACAGGUGACCUCGGAUC
rnacentral:sRNA from 1 species